rnacentral:piRNA from 1 species
UGCCUUCUCAGCUUGUCAGAACCACUUUGU